rnacentral:rRNA from 1 species
CAUAGCCAUAAGCCAUUACUUAUGGUGUUUUCUGCUCAAUGAGACAUUAAAUAGCCGCAGUACACUGACUGUGCAAAGGUAGCGUAAUAAUUUGUCUUCUAAUUAAAGUCUUGUAUGAAUGAAUAUAUGGGGGCUUACUAUACCUAUAGCAUAAUACGAAAUUACUUAAUGAGUGAAAAUACUCAUGUAUAAAUAAUAGACGAGAAGACCCUAGAAAUUUGUAAUGAUGUUUUGUUGGGGCAACAGGGUAACAACUAAUUUACUUGCGUAUAUGAAAUAAAAUGGUAAAAUUAAAUUACUCUAGGGAUAACAGCAUAAUCUAUAAGUGUUUGUGACCUCGAUGUUGGAUUAGGAAAUUGCAACCUAGAAGGUUAUCAAUACAGCUCUGUUCGAGCUACACU